AGUUAAAAAAAUGAGAAUAUUAAUGGUACCUGCCUCAUAUAAGGUUGUUGCGAGGAUUCACUGUGUCAGUUCAGACAGCUAUAAAGAGUGUUCAGUCUUCAAGGAGGCCAAAAAGGAAGACGGGUAAGAAAGGAUCUCCCAGAGGGUAAGGAGAACUAGACAAGGAAUUCCUCCUAGAGAGCAGAUUAAGGGACUAGGUGAGGCAUAUUGCUCCCCUGUCCGGCAGAGGGUCUUCACAGUGGCCACCCAGCAGGCUUCCAUCAUGCUAUUAACCAAGGACUGUGUUCUUUCCAUUUUUCUUUUUUCUGAAUGAGAGUCUUAUUGCAGAUGUCAAGAUCCAAUUCCACCAUAGUAUAUAGAUGUAUGUUAGGGGGCAAAUAACUGGUCUCUUAAUUAAUAAAUUGCUAGAUUAUGAGGAACUACAUAUAGACCUGAUUGAAAAGACGUGACCUCAAGUGGCCUGGACUUUAAGGUAGAUGUAGCGACUGCAUGGGACUUUGGGGUUUCUUCCUUGAGGAGGGCAUGAGUGGACUCUCCACGGGGGAAGAAGGGUACAAAUGGACAGCUGGUGUCCAGAAGGGUGGAUUAUGAUACACUGACAGCUAUUUACUAAAAAUCCAUUUCUAUUUCUUCCUGAACACAGCUAGCCCACACUUCCCUGGCUGUAUGAGCAGUGAUUGGCUACGUGAUUGAGUUCUAGCCAACAAAAUGUGAGUGGAAGUGAUGUGGGCCAUUUCCAGGCAGAGAAGCUGGUAUGUCCCCUCCCGCUGUCAUCCCCUGCCUGCUGGCUGGAUACAGAUCAUGAGAUCUGAGGCCCCACGGUAUGGCUCAGCCAUCAGUUGGAAGGCACCUGGGUUUCUGAAGCAUCGCAUGGAGAGCUGUCUUCAGCUGGAUGUUGGGUUUCCUUAGCGUAAGGAGCCAACCCGAGGGCUCUGAUCACAAGUUUCCCAAGAGAGAAAUUGCUCCUCCAAAGACUUCCAGUUUAUCUGCUUCAUGCUAAGACCGGCUGCCUCAGUAAUCACAGGGUGGCUGCCAGAAUGUUCCAAGAGCUACGUGCUUUCUUAUCUACACCCAGGGUGAGCAAGCAGCUAUCCAAGAAGUUUGUAAGGGUGAGGCAAUGCUUUCCCAGAGAGCAUCUGCUCACAUCUUCCCUAGUUCAAACUGGGCCAUGUACUGCCUGUUCCUAAACCAAACUUGGGGGUCAGGAGGAGGGGAAAUCAAAGACCAUGCCUGGCAUCACCUUCCCCAGAGAAACCUGGGCUGCGGUGGAGGGUAGGGGUCUUGCUUGAAUGCAAAGCCAUGUACUGUUACCAGGAGGAAGGGGAGCAAAUGCAAAAAUGCAUCUCAUCAGGAGCUGGAUUUUUGUUAAUGGGCAGAAUGGUACCUAUUAUUUGUAAGUAUAACAAAGGUAAUCAAGUUUCAAGGGGAGAA